CCUACGGGAGGCAGCAGUGGGGAAUAUUGGACAAUGGGCGGAAGCCUGAUCCAGCAACGCCGCGUGAGGGAUGACGGCCUUCGGGUUGUAAACCUCUUUCAGCACAGACGAAGCGCAAGUGACGGUAUGUGCAGAAGAAGGACCGGCCAACUACGUGCCAGCAGCCGCGGUAAUACGUAGGGUCCGAGCGUUGUCCGGAAUUAUUGGGCGUAAAGGGCUCGUAGGCGGUCUGUCGCGUCGGGAGUGAAAACCAGGUGCUUAACACCUGGCCUGCUUUCGAUACGGGCAGACUAGAGGUACUCAGGGGAGAAUGGAAUUCCUGGUGUAGCGGUGAAAUGCGCAGAUAUCAGGAGGAACACCGGUGGCGAAGGCGGUUCUCUGGGAGUAUCCUGACGCUGAGGAGCGAAAGUGUGGGGAGCGAACAGGAUUAGAUACCCUU
rnacentral:rRNA from 1 species